AACCGAGGUAAUAAGUGGAAUGGCAUUCAGCUGCCCGUGCACCGGAGAGAGAUGCUGAUUGUCAAACGGAGGCAGCCGUGAGGCUGCACACCACUACGACAGCAGCGGGGAAGAGCGAUAGAGGGGGAGAGGGAGAGAGAGAGGGAAAAGGGAGAUGGGAGUCAGGCAGGAGCAAAGGAUGUGGAGGGAGCGGCCCUGACACAUACGAUGCAACUGAUACUACAUGCAGUGCAACACACAAGACUGUGACUCUGGCCUACUGACAUUGUGUUCCUAGCUUGUUGUUUAAAUUCUGCUAAAAUUGGUUAUAUACUUACUUUUACUUAUUCAAUUUUCGAUUUCUUUUUAUAUUUGUGUCUCUCUGUAAUUUCGUUGUCAUUGCUGACAACAGUUGUAAAAUGACAAUAAAACCUCUUAUAUCUUCAUCAUCAUCAUCAGACCAGUUUCGCAACAGUUUGCAUCAAACAUUAUGAUUCUACACAAAACUAAAAGUUUCUAAUAAACUCAAAUAGAGCAGGUGAGUUUGGUUUGCAGUGUGAAGAUGGAUGAUGUGUUAGUUUAAGGUUUAGUUGUUUCUAUUAAUCAGACCUGCCCUUCCUCUGAUGGUUACAUUAAACUGACACAGCAGAACAUUACAGCAACUUUAAACAUCGACAUGGAAGAGUUAAUUUAAAGUGAGAGGCAGACGAAAAUCCAUUUUCAUCCAUAUGUAACAGUAACUUGAACUUGUUUCUCUUCUAUAAAGCAAUAAAAUGAGUCAGAACCAAAAUUGGAGAAGCAGCUUUCAGUUUCUAUGUUCCACAUAUCUGGAACAAACUUCCAGAAAACUGCAGAUCUGCUGAAACGCUCAGCUCUUAUCAAUCAAGGUUAAAGAGUUAAUUAUUUACUUUUGCCUUUGACUAAUGACUGUGUUGUAUCUGACCAGACAUACAUGUUUAAUUCAGUUCAGUUCAGUUUUAUUUGAAUGGUGCCGAUUGCAGUUCGGGUUAUCUCAGGACACGUUACAGAACCCAUAUAUGCCUGAAAUGUUGUUUAAACAAUAGUUGAGGAGUGAUUUCUGCUACUCUGGAAUGUUUGUGUUACUCCUAGAAAUGUUUAGAUAGAAGAGAUCCUUGUUCCUGCUCCUGGGACAUGUUGUAAUGGUGUAUUUCUAUGCAGGAAGUGAAGACCUGUUACUGAUGAGACACAAACCUAUAUAAGUGAGCUAUCUCUGUGGCUCCAGCUGAGUUAUUCCCAUCGGCUGAGAAUGCUGUUUUAACGUGCUUUAACGUUGCUGUUUUGCUAUUUUGUGACAGGAACAAGUGAAGGAAGUGAUAUUAUUUUAUCUCCAGUUGCAUCAUCUCCUUGCAUUAGUUUUAGACUUACGUCAGACUUACCUAUUUUGUCGCGAUGUCAUGAUUUUGUCACAUGCUAAGUAGCAAGCCCAUUAGAAAAGUGACAUUUAACAAAACAUUAAAACGAUGCCAUUCCUUUUAGAAUUAGACUAAUUCAAAAUAUUCAGAGUAAUCUACUGGAAUUGGAGGAGAAGCUAGAGGCGUAGAGGUUUGCCCUGGAAAGGAGAGGAAUGAAAGUUAGCCGCAGCAAGACGGAGUAUCUGUGUGUGAAUGAGAGGGACCCAAGUGGAAGAGUGAGGUUACAGGGAGAAGAGAUCAAGAAGGUGGAGGAUUUUAAGUACUUAGGGUCAACAGUCCAGAGCAAUGGAGAGUGUGGAAAAGAGGUGAAGAAGCGUGUACAGGCAGGCUGGAACGGCUGGAGAAAAGUGUCAGGUGUGAUGUGUGAUAGAAGAGUUUCAGCUAAAAUGAAAGGAAAGGUUUACAAAACUAUUAAUUCAAAUGGAUUGGAUAGUAUAGUUCAAUUAUCUAUCUCUGUUACAGAGAAUAGAGCACGUGUUUGCUGCAAACAGCCAUGUCAUUGCUACAUGGUUUCCACCAUCAUCCACAAACCCCAUGGAUCACCUGCCGGUAAUUUGUUAAAAAGUUUUGCUUUUGUAGUGGAGUUUGAGCAUUUCAUAUUCAGUUAUUGAUAUCUUUUUACAGGACAAUGCAGCCAGUCUACAGUGGGUUCUGCUUCCAGUAUUUGUACCUGGACACUGGAUACUCUCCACAUUGCUCACAGCCUAUCUCCUGGCCCUUGGAGGCAGCUUGGUGUGAAUGAUGUUCAGGAAAACAUGCUGCAGAUUAGAAGAUGGUGGUGUCUUGUUCUCCUGCAGAACUUCCCCAUACCAUCUGAAGAAGAGAGAUUGCAGCAAAGAAAAAGGCAACAAGAGAAGAAAAAAACUACAGGAUGUGGCUGAAGUCCCCCUGAAAAAGUUUAGGCUUUGGGAAUCUGCCCCUGAAGCAUCAGGUAUUGUUCCAGCCAGCAUUGUCUCACACAUAUCCAUCGAGGUUGUUGAGGUUCGAUGUCACAGAGCAGUCAUUAUUUCUCUGUGUACUUAAAAUCAACCACUUAAAUCUUGCAUUGUCAUUGUGCCUGUAGACACCACAAUCUGUUUCCUUUCUAGAUGAGGCUGAGAACAGGACUGGGAACAGGAAACGGGGAGAAUCCUUUGGUCAGGGAUGCAAUGGCGGCAGCCCGGUGGUGUGGGACCAGACCUUUCAAGGGAAAAAUUUUCCUUCCCCAAGUUGUUACCAUGGCCAAGGAGCAACGCGUGAAGGCAGUGGAACUCCUUUAUGUCUGUGAUGGCCAGGAAGAAGAGGAGACCGCUGAUCUCAGAGAACCGUUCCUUUUUCUUUUUAGUCUGCAGGAAGACUAUGAGACAUUCUGUCAAGAAAUCGUUGACAGGAGAAACAUGAAGGUGUUUUGUGCUUUUGACAGAAAAGAAUAAAGUUGUGUUCAACGGUG